rnacentral:tRNA from 2 species
GGUACUGUGGCGGAGAGGCCUAACGCGUCAGACUUGAAAUCUGAUUCCUUCGGGAGCCCAGGUUCGAAUCCUGGCAGUAUCG